AUGAACAAAGCCAGUGGAGGUGAUGGAAUUCCAGUUGAGCUGUUUCAAAUCCUGAAAGAUGAUGCUGUGAAAGUGCUGCACUCAAUAUGCCAGCUAAUUUGGAAAACUCAGCAGUGGCCACAGGACUGGAAAAGGUCAGUUUUCAUUCCAUUCCCAAAGAAAGGGAAUGCCAAAGAAUGCUCAAACUACCACACAAUUGUACUCAUCUCACAUGCUAGUAAAGCAAUGCUCAAAAUUCUCCAAGCCAGGCUUCAGCAAUACAUGAACCGUGAACUCCCUGAUGUUCAAGCCGGUUUUAGAAAAGGCAGAGGAACCAGAGAUCAAAUUGCCAACAUCCGCUGGAUCAUGGAAAAAGCAAGAGAGUUCCAGAAAAACAUCUAUUUCUGCUUUAUUGACUAUGCCAAAGCCUUUGACUGUGUGGAUCACAAUAAACUGUGGACAAUUCUGAAAGAGAUGGGAAUACCAGACCACCUGACCUGCCUCUUGAGAAAUCUGUAUGCAGGUCAGGAAGCAACAGUUAGAACUGGACAUGGAACAACAGACUGGUCCCAAAUAGGAAAAGGAGUAUGUCAAGGCUGUUUAUUGUCACCCUGCUUAUUGAACUUCUAUGCGGAGUACAUCAUGAGAAACGCUGGGCUGGAAGAAACACAAGCUGGAAUCAAGAUUGCCGGGAGAAAUAUCAAUCACCUCAGAUAUGCAGAUGACACCACCCUUAUGGCAGAAAGUGAAGAGGAGCUAAAAAACCUCUUGAUGAAAGUGAAAGAGGAGGAUGAAAAAGUUGGCUUAAAGCUCAACAUUCAGAAAACAAAGAUCAUGGCAUCUGGUUCCAUCACUUCAUGGGAAAUAGAUGAGGAAACAGUGGAAACAGUGUCAGACUUUAUUUUUUUGGGCUCCAAAAUCACUGCAGAUGGUGACUGCAGCCAUGAAAUGAAGAGACACUUACUCCUUGGAAGAAAAGUUAUGACCAACCUAGAUAGCAUAUUCAAAAGCAUUGACAUUACUUUGCCGACUAAGGUCCGUCUAGUCAAGGCUAUGGUUUUUCCUGUGGUCAUGUACGGAUAUGAGAGUUGGACUGUGAAGAAGGCUGAGCACCGAAGAAUUGAUGCUUUUGAACUGUGGUGUUGGAGAAGACUCUUGAGAGUCCCUUGGACUGCAAGGAGAUCCAACCAGUCCAUUCUGAAGGAGAUCAAGCCUGAGAUUUCUUUGGAAGGAAUGAUGCUGAAGCUGAAACUCUAG
rnacentral:lncRNA from 1 species